GGUAGGGGGAUCUUAUUCUUAAGGUCCAUUUUAUUGUCUGUAGUAUCUAAUUUUCUUUUCUUUCUCAGGUCCUGAUAAUAAGCAUAUCCAUAGAGGGGAAAAGAAAAAUAAGGAAUGAUAAUAAGUAUUGUCAUUUGUUGUUGCAGGUGGUGUAACCCCAAUUCAAGCUACUGGGGCCAUUUCACCUACACCAAAUAUGCAUGUUUGUUCUAUAUCAGUGGUGUCCAAUUGUCUUUUCUCUUUACUGCAUCUAAACUAUUAGGAGUAAUUAAUUUUCUGGUUCUUUUGAGGAGUAAUUUUGUGAUCCUGCUUUCAUGUAUACCUCAACCCUAAUCCAGAGAAGCAUCGGCUCUUUUUUUUAUUAACAAUUGGAAAUAAGAAAUGCAGACGUCCCUCAUUUAUUCUAUUCCAGCUAAUUAAUCUAUUUAGUCCUCAAUAGAAAACACAGGUCCUUUUUUUGGAACGAAACCUUUUAUAAAACAAAAGAAAAGCUGCAAGUAGGUUGAGAGAGACUUGCCUAAAAAGGGCUGAUUCAAUACCAGAAAUAUAAUGACAUGGGCAGAUUUACUCCCCUGCACCUUGUGCACCAAGGCAAAGAAACAGAAGAACAGGAAAGAAAGAUGAGAGGGAUGAACAGGGGACAAGAAACUGGAAACAGAGGAUAAUAUACUUGGAGCCUAAGUAUUAAUUGCUGGAAAAAACUUGGUUCUUAAUUAAAUACAAAGAAAUGUCAUACCUUAUUCAUACUAAGUCUAAAAGAUUCCUACUCAUACACAAAAACUGGAAGAAAAACUAUUAAAUAAAAAAACUUCCGAAAAUACCCUGGAUCUUAUUUUCUGAAUUAACCCAACAGUUAAUACAAACGCUCAUGAACUGCAGGUUCAUCAAUGUUCGAUGUUAAGGAGCAAUAAUUAAUCUCAUUAAUUUACCUAUUAAAAUUUGGAAACGGAAAAUAUUUUAGAAUUAACUGUGUACCUUUAGAAAAUUAGUUUAUACUCGAAGAGUCUUUUAAUUACGGGGAUGAUAAAUUAAACUAUACCAGUUUAGAAAGUAAUCUCCUGAGGGUAAUUGAAAAGCGGACAGAUCACCACCAAUAAUAUGUUUCCACGACUUGUAAUAACUCAAAGGAUCUUCUUCAUUAUUGUCCUUUUCAGUAUUAUACACUGGACUGAUUGCACACUCUCUUACCAUUACUCCCACAUAUUCUAAUAUUGUAACACAAAUUUCAUCACCAAUUUUAAUCUCAUUGUCCUCAAACAUCCAAUGACUUAACCAUACUAUAUCUUCAUCAGUUUCUCCGACAGCAUACAUUUGACCAUAAUACGUCCAGACGAUGGCAUGGCUAUUGAUAUUGAUAUUGAUGAACCCUUGUUUUUAUGAGGCAACCAAUCUGGAACUGCUUUCCCAGGAAAACAUGUGGUAAAUAUUUCAAAUUCAUAAACCAUCUGCAAUUAAAACAUUAGAUUGUAUGAAUUUUACGCAUAUUAGUGUGUGUGUGUGUUUGUGAGAUCCAUAGAAACAGAGAAGAAGAAAGAGUACCUGAACUGGGAGUUUCUUUGCACCCCGAAACCAUCUGUAUAAAUCCCAUAUCCGCAUCUUCUGAUCUUUCACAUGUUGUAAAUUUGUCCAGCCCAAGCUACAUAAUAUCUUCUCAUCAAUUUGUGCUAUAGCUUCAAUUUUUAUUAUGCCUUCAAUUUCGGCCAAUGACUCCGAAUAAUUGUAAUACACUUGUAGUGGGGCUGACAUUUCUUGAGGGAAUGUUAUUUUAAUAAGUGACAAACACUUUCCGGUAGACAAAGAUUUAAUUGUAGGUGGAGGGCACAAUACCGACUUCAACAUCCAACAUUCUCCAACAUCAAGUAACUCAAGUCUGCUAAGGCUUCUCACACAAUCAGGCAGGGAAUCAUAGAUGCAACUGAAGUCAUUUGGAAAGGAUUCAUUAGAUAAAUUAUUGCCCUUAAGCAACAAGGUUACUAGUGAAGGUAGCAAAAAUGAUUUUCCACUUUUUGGUAAAAAUUCUCCAACAGAAGAGGAAGAUGCAUAUGACUCGAUAUCCUUCAUCCACAUUAGAAAUCCACUAGCACCUAAGCAACCUUCUAAUGAUAUACUUCUAACAUUCUUUAACUUGCUGAUGCUAAUUGGAACAUUACUAAGCUUACUGCAUUUGCUAAUGUCAAGAAUAACAAGGCUAUCACAUCCACCAAUUGACUCACACACAUGAACUAAGCUUUUACAGCUUCUAAGAAUCAACCUCUCAAGUGCAGGUAGCGCAGAGAAGCCUUCAACUCUAACAAGAUUGCAAUAACUCAGAUUAAGAAUCUUCAAUGACCUAAGAAGCUGUUGCAUUGGAUAUCCUCUCAUCAAGAAUAUUAUAACCAAGAUAUUAACAGUCUAAAAAUUGAAGUAAAAGCUUUAGUUUCAUACCUUCGGCUUCUUCCAAAGCUGUGUCAGAUUACUGUAAGACAUGUCAAGAGAAACCAAUUUUUUCAUUGGAUCCGUCCAUUUUUACAUUAUUGAGUUGGAGCCGCUUAUCCAUCUUUCUUAAUGCAUCUGUUCUCAAUUCGACUUUUUUGCAAUGAGAAGACGAAAGCAUUAGUAGAAGCCGAGCAAAAAACGACAAAAUUCUUAAAAAGAACUCAUAGACAAUCUGGAUUGGUUGAGCAGCUCUAAAACUCGUGUUCACAUCAUCAUUUUGGAAGCUAUGCUCUGUCACACUACUUGAUCUAGACAAUAGCUCCUUUGUCAAUAGAGUCAUGUCAAGGAUAAGACCUUGAAUUCUUUGGGUACCCUAUCAAAAAGAAAAUUACAACAAGCAUUCAUUGUUAUAUAGAUGAUAAAGCUAACUAAUACUCAUGGUGACUAUGUUGUAUUAGUGUAUUACCUUGUCACUUUUUAACAAAUCGAGAGACUCCUCAUGUUUCCAUACACGACUACACUUCCAUGGCUUAUUGUUAUGACCCGGGAUCUAGACCUCGUGACAGGACCAGUGCUAGUGCCUGAAAAAGCCGUGAACUCCCCUGUAACCUAGCCUCCUGUUUGCAGGAGACUAAACUAAGCUAUUAACACAAUAUUACUCUAUUAAUUGUUUUCAAAUUCCAGCAUAUCUUAUUUCAUGAAUGACUACCCUUUAAAUAGGGAUAAACAAAAGACUCAAAUCAGGAAACAAAGACUUCUAAAAUCGACUCAAAUAAUAAAAGAUCCU